AACGAACGCUGGCGGCAUGCCUAACACAUGCAAGUCGAACGAGACCUUCGGGUCUAGUGGCGCACGGGUGCGUAACGCGUGGGAACCUGCCCUUAGGUUCGGAAUAACUCCUCGAAAGGGGUGCUAAUACCGGAUAAUGUCUUCGGACCAACGAUUUAUCGCCUUUGGCUGGGCCCGCGUUGGAUUAGCUAGUUGGUAGGGUAAAAGCCUACCAAGGCGACGAUCCAUAGCUGGUCUGAGAGGAUGAUCAGCCACACUGGGACUGAGACACGGCCCAAACUCCGACGGGAGGCAGCAGUGGGGAAUAUUGGACAAUGGGCGAAGGCCUAAGCCAGCAAUGCCGCGAGAGUGAUGAAGGCCUUAGGGUUGUAAAGCUCUUUUCCCCGGGAUGAUAAUGACAGUACCGGGGGAAUAAGCUCCGGCUAACUCCGU
rnacentral:rRNA from 1 species